GACCGAUAGUGAACCAGUACCGUGAGGGAAAGGCGAAAAGAACCCCGGCGAGGGGAGUGAAAAAGAACCUGAAACCGUGUACGUACAAGCAGUGGGAGCCUCUUUUAUGGGGUGACUGCGUACCUUUUGUAUAAUGGGUCAGCGACUUAUAUUCUGUAGCAAGGUUAACCGAAUAGGGGAGCCGAAGGGAAACCGAGUCUUAACUGGGCGUUAAGUUGCAGGGUAUAGACCCGAAACCCGGUGAUCUAGCCAUGGGCAGGUUGAAGGUUGGGUAACACUAACUGGAGGACCGAACCGACUAAUGUUGAAAAAUUAGCGGAUGACUUGUGGCUGGGGGUGAAAGGCCAAUCAAACCGGGAGAUAGCUGGUUCUCCCCGAAAGCUAUUUAGGUAGCGCCUCGUGAAUUCAUCUCCGGGGGUAGAGCACUGUUUCGGCAAGGGGGUCAUCCCGACUUACCAACCCGAUGCAAACUGCGAAUACCGGAGAAUGUUAUCACGGGAGACACACGGCGGGUGCUAACGUCCGUCGUGAAGAGGGAAACAACCCAGACCGCCAGCUAAGGUCCCAAAGUCAUGGUUAAGUGGGAAACGAUGUGGGAAGGCCCAGACAGCCAGGAUGUUGGCUUAGAAGCAGCCAUCAUUUAAAGAAAGCGUAAUAGCUCACUGGUCGAGUCGGCCUGCGCGGAAGAUGUAACGGGGCUAAACCAUGCACCGAAGCUGCGGCAGCGACGCUUAUGCGUUGUUGGGUAGGGGAGCGUUCUGUAAGCCUGUGAAGGUGUGCUGUGAGGCAUGCUGGAGGUAUCAGAAGUGCGAAUGCUGACAUAAGUAACGAUAAAGCGGGUGAAAAGCCCGCUCGCCGGAAGACCAAGGGUUCCUGUCCAACGUUAAUCGGGGCAGGGUGAGUCGACCCCUAAGGCGAGGCCGAAAGGCGUAGUCGAUGGGAAACAGGUUAAUAUUCCUGUACUUGGUGUUACUGCGAAGGGGGGACGGAGAAGGCUAUGUUGGCCGGGCGACGGUUGUCCCGGUUUAAGCGUGUAGGCUGGUUUUCCAGGCAAAUCCGGAAAAUCAAGGCUGAGGCGUGAUGACGAGGCACUACGGUGCUGAAGCAACAAAUGCCCUGCUUCCAGGAAAAGCCUCUAAGCAUCAGGUAACAUCAAAUCGUACCCCAAACCGACACAGGUGGUCAGGUAGAGAAUACCAAGGCGCUUGAGAGAACUCGGGUGAAGGAACUAGGCAAAAUGGUGCCGUAACUUCGGGAGAAGGCACGCUGAUAUGUAGGUGAAGUCCCUUGCGGAUGGAGCUGAAAUCAGUCGAAGAUACCAGCUGGCUGCAACUGUUUAUUAAAAACACAGCACUGUGCAAACACGAAAGUGGACGUAUACGGUGUGACGCCUGCCCGGUGCCGGAAGGUUAAUUGAUGGGGUCAGCGCAAGCGAAGCUCUUGAUCGAAGCCCCGGUAAACGGCGGCCGUAACUAUAACGGUCCUAAGGUAGCGAAAUUCCUUGUCGGGUAAGUUCCGACCUGCACGAAUGGCGUAAUGAUGGCCAGGCUGUCUCCACCCGAGACUCAGUGAAAUUGAACUCGCUGUGAAGAUGCAGUGUACCCGCGGCAAGACGGAAAGACCCCGUGAACCUUUACUAUAGCUUGACACUGAACAUUGAGCCUUGAUGUGUAGGAUAGGUGGGAGGCUUUGAAGUGUGGACGCCAGUCUGCAUGGAGCCGACCUUGAAAUACCACCCUUUAAUGUUU
rnacentral:rRNA from 1 species